UCAUAUGUGGAACUUCCGAAGGCUGUGAGAGAACGUUCAUGUCCCAAUGAGCCAGGAACAGAGUGGAGUGGUGUGAAUAAUGUAAACAACAUAAUCCAGUCUGCAUCGGCCUGAACCUUAAGGACGAGAACCAGAUGAGAAAAGAAACAAAAAUAUCAGAACUCAGGCUACUCUCAAACAAUGACUGUUAAUCAAAAGAAGAUUUCCCUCAAGAGGAAGGCCACUUAAACGUACAACUGCUGGCCGGUGGUAUAGUGGCAUCAGCACCAGACUUCGCAGUGAGCGUUCCUGGGUUUGAGUCAAGCCGGCUCCCUGCACAUUUUCCAUCCGUGCUGUGGUCAGCAAACCACAUCCCAGAGACGUAGCAUUCAUGAGGGAGUGAAGCGGGAAUUUACAUCUCACCCUAGAGUUUUGCUCUCCAUUUGUUCGCGUGCCAGAUGCUGCUUGACUCAUUGAUCUACCAGCUGUUUCCUUUUUGUUUGUAGAUCAAGUCAGAUUCAGAAAGAUUCCUCCUAUGUUCGAAGGCAACCUGGAGAAAAUUUCACAGGUUGGAAAGAAGACAAAAGCAGGUGAGAACUUCUGACCGUAGCAGUGAGAGACUGAAAAUAUCCUUGAAUACACCUGCCGGUCGCCUCCAACCUCAGAAUUGUCUCUUCCACCUUGAAAUAGCCUCCGCAAGUCACACCUGGUUUUCUUGUACAGACCUGGGUCACCAGACUUAAAUACCACACACCUAGCCCUCAGCAAAUGACGAACCUCCUGGUUCAUCCCUGGCUUGUGGUUUGGGAAUGUACAAGUUCUUGUAGUUCUUCAACACUCAUCUACAGGGGCACCAUUGAGAUCAUCCUGACUGACUGUGUCACUGGCUGGUAUGGGAUCUGCAGAGAGUGGUGCUGACAGCCCAGCACAUCUGUGGAUGCGAACUUUCCUCUAUUCAGGACACUUACAGCAGCAGGUGCAUAAAAAGGGCCCAGAGGAUCGCCACCUCUAUUCCCUCUAAGCUGUGCACGUGUGCACACAUUUUUCAACCAGUGCACAAUGUGUGCACAAAAGGUUACCUAAAAUAAUGUAGUAAUUAAUAAUUAUACUUAUUGAAAAUAAUCUUUUAGCUAAGUGUUAAAAUAACUGAGUGACUUAAAUAUGUAUGUUAUUUUGUUGUUAUUCUGUGCAGUUUUAUGUCAAAUAUUCUGUAAACCUACAUAAAUUGUGCCAUGUUUACAUUCAGUGGGCACAUACUUUUGUCACAGGAAAAAAUCUUGCACAACAUAAGAUUUUUGCGCACACUGACUACUAAAAAUUAGAGGGAACAUUGAUCGCCAGGGGCUCCAACCACCCCAACCACAAACUGUUUCAGCUGCUACCAUCUGACAAACAGUACCACAGCAUGAAGGCCAGGACCAACAGGCUCCGGGACAUCAACUUUAUCAAUACACAUUAAUCUGAUUGCAUAUCUGACUGUACAUGCACGGAUACAAAACAAUUAUGUAUACAAUCUCAGUGUUUCGGCAAUAUCUCCUGCAUUUCCCUUCCUCAUUGCUUGUGCAUAGUGACAGAGAAACAACAUAAAGAUUUUUACUCCCUCUUGUUGUGAGAUGGAUGUAAGAAAUAAAAUUCUAAUUCUAAUUCCAAUUCUAAAUGCUAUGAGGGUUAAGUUCCCACUUUCAGUUGCUCCUAAUGUGUAGGUCAGAGAAGCUGACAGAAGUCGAUGAGGAUAUGAGACUAAUACAGGAUUUGCACAAAUGUGUGGUGGAGGGACCAAUAUGGACCUUGUAAGUUGACCAGCCUACUUCUGUGUUGUAUCACUCUGUGACUCUAAAUUCCAUUCAAAUGAGUUUAAGUUCAGUUAAAUGAUCCUCCUUGGGAUGCUUCAAAGACCUGGGACCAGUGUCUGCACACAUUUUCCUCUUAUACUAAAGUAAUUAGUUAACUGAGAAUAGAUUCCAAUAACCAUCAAUUGUAAGUGCACCAGCUUAAAAUCUUUAGCUUUAAGGAAAAGGCAGUUUAUUUUUUCUCUGUUACUUUAAUAUGACUCCAAUCAACACAUUAUGAAUUAACUGAAAUAAAAACACAAAAUGCAGGCAGAACUCAU